rnacentral:rRNA from 1 species
AGCGAACGCUGGCGGCAGGCCUAACACAUGCAAGUCGAACGAACCUUUCGGGGUUAGUGGCGGACGGGUGAGUAACACGUGGGAACGUGCCUUUAGGUUCAGCAUACCUCAGGGAAACUUGUGCUAAUACCGAAUGUGCCCUUCGGGGGAAAGAUUUAUCGCCUUUAGAGCGGCCCGCGUCUGAUUAGCUAGUUGGUUGAGGUAAUGGCUCACCAAGGCGACGAUCAGUAGCUGGUCUGAGAGGAUGAUCAGCCACAUUGGGACUGAGACACGGCCCAAACUCCUACGGGAGGCAGCAGUGGGGAAUCUGGCGCAAGGGGCGAAAGCCUGACGCAGCCAUGCCGCGUGAAUGAUGAAGGUCUUAGGAUUGUAAAAUUCUUUCACCGGGGACGAUAAUGACGGUACCCGGAGAAGAAGCCCCGGCUAACUUCGUG